CCUGCUGGCGGAUGCUGCUAUUUGGCUUGGACUUAGGCAUGCAAGUCUGUUGAAAGACGGCGAGCUGCUCAGUAACACGUAGUUAAUCUGCCCUAUGGUCAAGGAUAACCUCGGGAAACUGAGGCUAAUACUUGAUAGAAGAUUUUGUUGGAACACUUUUUCUUUGAAACUCGUGCCAUAGGAUGAGACUGCGCCUGAUUAGGUUGUUGUUGGGGUAAUGGCCCAACAAGCCGAUGAUCAGUAAGGGCUCUUAACGGAGUAGCCCUGAGAGGGAAUCUGAGACACUAUUCCCAGCUCUACGGAGUGCAGCAGCUGCGAAUUUUUACAAUGCACGAAAGUGUGAUAGAGCGAGCCAAAGUGCUUUUCAUACGAAAAGCUUUUCUUUGCCGUAAAAAUGCAGAGGAAUAAGGACUGGGUAAGACUGGUGCCAGCCGCCGCGGUAAUACCAGCAGUUCAAGUGGCAUCCAUUUUUAUUGGGUCUAAAACAUCCGUAGCUUGUUAAAUAAGUCUCUUGUAAAAUCCUAUAUCUCAAGUAUAGGUCUGGCAAGAGAUACUAUUUAGCUAGAGACCGGUAGAUGUAAGGAGUACGCUCAAGGUAAUGGUAAAAUAUGUUAAUCUUGGGUGGACUAACAAUUGGCGAAGGCACCUUACAAGGACGGAUCUGACAGUGAGGGAUGAAGGCCAGGGGCGCAAAACGGAUUAGAUACCCGUGUA
rnacentral:rRNA from 1 species